rnacentral:rRNA from 1 species
UUGCCAGCCGCCGCGGUAAUAACCGCGCCUCAAGUGGUAGUCACGUUUAUUGGGCCUAAAGCGUCCGUAGCCGGUUUGAUAAGUUUCUGGUGAAAUCCACUAGUAGACUAGUGGAACUGCUGGAAAUACUAUCAGGCUUGAGACCGGGAGAGGUUGGGAGUAUUCCACGGGUAAGAGUAAAAUCUUUUAAUCCGUGGAGGACCACCUGUGGCGAAGGC